rnacentral:rRNA from 1 species
UGGGGAAUAUUGGACAAUGGGCGAAAGCCUGAUCCAGCCAUGCCGCGUGUGUGAAGAAGGUCUUCGGAUUGUAACGCACUUUAAGUUGGGAGGAAGGGCAUUAACCUAAUACGUUAGUGUUUUGCCGUUACCGACAGAAUAAGCACCGGCUAACUCUGUGCCAGCAGCCGCGGUAAUACAGAGGGUGCAAGCGUUAAUCGGAAUUACUGGGCGUAAAGCGCGCGUAGGUGGUUUGUUAAGUUGGAUGUGAAAUCCCCGGGCUCAACCUGGGAACUGCAUUCAAAACUGACUGACUAGAGUAUGGUAGAGGGUGGUGGAAUUUCCUGUGUAGCGGUGAAAUGCGUAGAUAUAGGAAGGAACACCAGUGGCGAAGGCGACCACCUGGACUAAUACUGACACUGAGGUGCGAAAGCGUGGGGAGCAAACA